UACGGAGGGUGCAAGCGUUAUCCGGAUUCACUGGGUUUAAAGGGUGCGUAGGAGGGCAGGUAAGUCAGUGGUGAAAUCUCUGGGCUUAACCCAGAAACUGCCGUUGAUACUAUCUGUCUUGAAUACCGUGGAGGUGAGCGGAAUAUGUCAUGUAGCGGUGAAAUGCUUAGAUAUGACAUAGAACACCAAUUGCGAAGGCAGCUUACUACACAGUUAUUGACGCUGAGGCACGAAAGCGUGGGGAUCAAACAGG
rnacentral:rRNA from 1 species